rnacentral:tRNA from 1 species
CCGCCAUUAGCUCAUCGGGANNAGCCUUCGAAGCUGGCUGCGCGGGGUUCAAGUCCCCGAUGGCGGUCCA